rnacentral:rRNA from 1 species
GACAGAGGGUGCAAACGUUGUUCGGAAUUACUGGGCGUAAAGCGUGUGUAGGCGGCCAAGCAAGUCGGAUGUGAAAGCCCCCGGCUCAACUGGGGAGGGUCACUCGAUACUGAUCGACUCGAAGGCAGAAGAGGGAAGCGGAAUUCCCGGUGUAGUGGUGAAAUGCGCAGAUAUCAGGAGGAACACCGGUGGCGAAGGCGGGUCUCUGGGCCGAUACUGACGCUGAGGAGCGAAAGCGUGGGGAGCGAACAGG